rnacentral:rRNA from 1 species
CACGUAGUUAGCCGGUCCUUAUUCCCCACCUACCGUCAACCCCGAGAGAACCCGGAGCCUGCGUUGGUGGUAAAAGAGGUUUACAACCCGAAGGCCGUCAUCCCCCACGCGGCGUCGCUGCGUCAGGCUUUCGCCCAUUGCGCAAUAUUCCCCACUGCUGCCUCCCGCAGGAGUCUGGGCCGUGUCUCAGUCCCAGUGUGGCCGGUCGCCCUCUCAGGCCGGCUACCCGUAAUCGCCUUGGUAGGCCGUUACCCCACCAACAAGCUGAUAGGCCGCGAGCCCAUCCCUGACCGAAAAAACUUUCCACCCUCCACCAUGAGGCGGAAGGUCGUAUCCGGUAUUAGACGGCGUUUCCACCGCUUAUCCCAGAGUCAGGGCAGGUUGCUCACGUGUUACUCACCCGUUCGCCGCUCGUGUACCCCGAAGGGCCUUACCGCUCGACUUGCAUGUGUUAAGCACGCCGCCAGCGUGUCCUCGUAGCCACGGACGUCAAACUAC